rnacentral:snRNA from 1 species
GCGCUCCCCUCCCCAGCACAAAGACUAAAAUUACAACGAUUCAAGAUGAUUAGCAUGACCCCCUCACAAGGAUGACACACAAAUUCCUGAAGCCUUCCAUAUUUUG